UACAGAGGGGGCAAGCGUUAUUCGGAAUUAUUGGGCGUAAAGGGUGCGUAGGCGGUUUGGUAAGUCUUAUGUGAAAUCUACAGGCUCAACUUGUAGUCUGCAUGAGAAACUGCCGGGCUUGAGUAUGGGAGAGGUGAGUGGAAUUCCUGGUGUAGCGGUGAAAUGCGUAGAUAUCAGGAGGAACACCUGUGGCGAAAGCGGCUCACUGGACCAUAACUGACGCUGAUGCACGAAAGCUAGGGGAGCAAACAGG
rnacentral:rRNA from 1 species